rnacentral:rRNA from 1 species
AUUGAACGCUGGCGGCAGGCUUAACACAUGCAAGUCGAGCGGGGUGAUGGUGCUUGCACUAUCACUUAGCGGCGGACGGGUGAGUAAUGCUUAGGAAUCUGCCUAUUAGUGGGGGACAACAUCUCGAAAGGGAUGCUAAUACCGCAUACGUCCUACGGGAGAAAGCAGGGGAUCACUUGUGACCUUGCGCUAAUAGAUGAGCCUAAGUCGGAUUAGCUAGUUGGUGGGGUAAAGGCCUACCAAGGCGACGAUCUGUAGCGGGUCUGAGAGGAUGAUCCGCCAAACUGGGACUGGGACAAGGCCCCGACUCCUACGGGAGGCAGCAGUGGGGAAUAUUGGACAAUGGGGGGAACCCUGAUCCAGCCAUGCCGCGUGUGUGAAGAAGGCCUUAUGGUUGUAAAGCACUUUAAGCGAGGAGGAGGCUUACCUAGUUAAUACCUGGGAUAAGUGGACGUUACUCGCAGAAUAAGCACCGGCUAACUCUGUGCCAGCCGCCGCCGUAA